ensembl:lncRNA
AGUUUUCCUAUUUCUUUCUAACACGCUUUCUUCUCUUAUUCCAAUUAGAACAGAUAUUGUGAAAUUAAGCCUUAGUUUCACUGUUUGGUUCACCUUUGCCUUGUGAGUUCCUUAGAAGAAUGGAUCACUCUAUAUUUUUUUGAACAGAUGCUUCAUUAUGGAAGGCCGUGAUCCUUUCAUGUCUCACCUGAUCCUCCUUUUUAUGAGCUUCAUGGACAGAAGGAUACUUAGAUGAGUGGAAGGGAGGUGAAAUAAGUCAACUUGGGUAUAUAUUUCAGAAAUUUCUCCUAUUGUUUUAAAAAUUUAAUACUGAUUCCUCAUAUCCUAAGGCCAUAGAAAGAGAAACAUCCAUGAUGGUAACCAAUGCCUGUGCUAUUAGCCAUAGGAAAUCUCUUACUGUCGUAAAUAUCACUGAAUAGACUAGUACAAAAGCUUAGAGUGGAUGUUACAAAGAGAACAAUUGUAACCAAGAUGACGGCAUGCCAAAAUCCAUUCGUUUAAAGACAUGAUUCUUCUCAAAUAGGAGAAUCGUAAUGUAAACAAAACAAAAUAAAAAUGAAAAC